rnacentral:lncRNA from 1 species
CGAGAGCUGAAAAUCUGCAGUUUUGCAGAAUUUGAUUCUUUAGCUCUCGAAAACCUUCCACAACUCACUUUCGAUCAUUUUAGCACCUUCGGACUUUUCGAAGUGUACCGUCCUCGUACUUUGGUCAAUUUGACUAAAGUUCGAUAUUUAUUUUUCGAAUUUUCGAUAUAUUACAAAUUUUCACCCCAACUUCACUUCGACUCAAAGUCCAUUUCCACCCCAAGUCUACUUACGUUGAAACAAACAU